GACGAACGCUGGCGGCGUGCUUAACACAUGCAAGUCGAACGGAAAGGCCCUGCUUUUGUGGGGUGCUCGAGUGGCGAACGGGUGAGUAACACGUGAGUAACCUGCUCUUGACUUUGGGAUAACUUCAGGAAACUGGGGCUAAUACCGGAUCGGAGCUCCUGCUGCAUGGUGGGGGUUGGAAAGUUUCGGCGGUUGGGGAUGGACUAGCGGCUGAUCAGCUUGUUGGUGGGGUAGUGGCUUACCAAGGCUUUGACGGGUAGCCGGCAUGAGAGGGUGACCGGCGACAAUGGGACUGAGAUACGGCGCAGUCUCCUAUGGGAGGCAGCAGUGGGGAAUAUUGCACAAUGGGCGGAAGUCUGAUGCAGCAACGCCGCGUGCGGGAUGACGGCCUGCGGGUAGUAAACCGCUGUCGCCUGUUACGAAGCGGGAGUGACGGUAAUGGGUGAAGAAGCACCGGCUAACUACGUG
rnacentral:rRNA from 1 species